rnacentral:tRNA from 1 species
GCUCCGUUAGUCUAGUCCGGUCAAUUUCAAAAACCGAUAGGAUUCGGCCCUUUCGAGGCUGAGACCCGAGUUCAAAUCUCGGACGGAGCA